AGGCUGCAUUUGGCUUUUUCUUUUUUUUUCAGCUCACUGUGCUGUAAAGCACUGGCCUUGAGCCUAAUAUGGUAUUCGGGCCGUGCAUUGCUAUCAUUUCCGACCUUUGGGAACUAUCUCUUUGGGAAUAUUAAGAACCACACCACCUUUUUUUCCUCCUCUGGAAGUCAGUUUGUGAAUGGUAUCAGGAAUGGUACUUCCUCCUUCUUUCCCUGUGGGCAAAUUACAGCAGCUUUUGAGUUUUUCAAACACCCAUGGGUAACAAAUAUAUUUCUAUUAUUAGGUCUUCAAAAUGUUUUUCUUUUUUUCCCUAAGGUUAAGCAAUUAGUUAAGAAUACCACCCAGGAAUCUGCCCUGAGACAGUGUGGUGGUGGGUGCCAAGGUGUUGAAAUUCCUCAGAGUUCAAUGGAUGUUAUGGGAAGCACAGGAAGUAGUUACAUAGCAUUUUACCGCCUCUGCAGUCAACACUGUGCCAUGGAUUCCGUUCAUGAUCAAAGAUGUCCUUGAGUCUUGGGAAGACUGUUAUGAAGGACAAGGAUGAUUAUUCACAUAAUAAAAGAAAAACCGCAUUAUUACCA
rnacentral:lncRNA from 1 species